rnacentral:rRNA from 1 species
CGGCGAGUGAAGCGGCAACAGCUCAAAUUUGAAAUCUGGCUCCCUCGGGGGUCCGAAUUGUAAUUUGCAGAGGGAGUCUCGGGCGCGACACCGGUCUAAGUUCCUUGGAACAGGGCGUCACAGAGGGUGAGAAUCCCGUACGUGACCGGCCGUCAACCCCAUGCGAGGCCCCUUCGACGAGUCGAGUUGUUUGGGAAUGCAGCUCAAAGCGGGUGGUAAAUUUCAUCUAAAGCUAAAUACUGGCCAGAGACCGAUAGCGCACAAGUAGAGUGAUCGAAAGAUGAAAAGCACUUUGGAAAGAGAGUUAAAAAGUAUGUGAAAUUGUUGAAAGGGAAGCGCUUGCAGCCAGACUUGACCGUUGGUGAUCAGCCGUCCCUCGGGGCGGUGCACUCUCCCUCGGUCAGGCCAGCAUCGGUUUCGGCGGCCGGACAAAGGCCCCGGGAACGUGGCUCCCUCCGGGGAGUGUUAUAGCCCGGGGUGCAAUGCGGCCAGCCGGGACCGAGGACCGCGCUUCUGCUAGGAUGCUGGCGUAAUGGCUGCCAGCGACCCGUCUUGAAACACGGACCAAGGAGUCGACCAACCAAGCGAGUGUUUGGGUGUCAAACCCACACGCGUAAUGAAAGUGAACGGAGGUGGGAACCCCUCGCGGGGCGCACCAUCGACCGAUCCUGAUGUCUUCGGAUGGAUUUGAGUAAGAGCUCGGUUGGCCGGACCCGAAAGAUGGUGAACUAUGCGUGAAUAGGGUGAAGCCAGAGGAAACUCUGGUGGAGGCUCGCAGCGGUUCUGACGUGCAAAUCGAUCGUCAAAUUUGCGUAUAGGGGCGAAAGUAAGUUUUU